rnacentral:miRNA from 1 species
UAGAUGGGGUUCGCCAGCCCCAUCAACAUAAAGGUUUGGUCCCAGCCUUUCUA